UUGCUGGUCUCUUGGGACAUGUGCACGCUUGUCUCAUCUUUGUUAUUCUUCCCCCAACUUGUGCACAUUUUGUAGACCCUGGAGCUUUAUGGAUUUUUAUUCGAGUCAGGACUGCUGUGCUUUUCUUACAAAGUCAGCUUUGCCUUGCAUUUCCAGGUCUAUGUCAUUUUUCACAACCUCUUGAGACACACAUGUUUAGAAUGUAUCUAAAGAAAUGAAAUGAAAUAUACAACUUUCAGCAACGGAUCUCUUGGCUCUCGCAUCGAUGAAGAACGCAGCGAAAUGCGAUAAGUAAUGUGAAUUGCAGAAUUCAGUGAAUCAUCGAAUCUUUGAACGCAUCUUGCGCUCCUUGGUAUUCUGAGGAGCAUGCCUGUUUGAGUGUCAUUUAACUUCUCAACCACAUCAGAUAUGAUGAUUGUGGCUUGGAUGUGGGGGAUUUGUUUUGCAGGCUUUUUCUGUAACAAGAGAAGGUCGGCUCCCCUGAAAUGUAUUAGUGGUAUCUGAGGCUACUUACUAUAGGUGUAAUAAUUAUCUAUGCCUUUGGUAUGCCAUAUAGAACAGAUUACACUGCUUCUAACAAG
rnacentral:rRNA from 1 species